CAGAAAAUAGUUUAAUAUAAAAUGUUAGCUUUGGGAGCUAAAAAUAGCAAGAAUUGUUUUUUCUGA
rnacentral:tRNA from 1 species